rnacentral:rRNA from 1 species
GAUGAACGCUGGCGGCGUGCCUAAUACAUGCAAGUCGAGCGAACAGAUGAGGAGCUUGCUCCUCUGACGUUAGCGGCGGACGGGUGAGUAACACGUGGAUAACCUACCUAUAAGACUGGGAUAACUUCGGGAAACCGGAGCUAAUACCGGAUAAUAUAUUGAACCGCAUGGUUCAAUAGUGAAAGACGGUUUUGCUGUCACUUAUAGAUGGAUCCGCGCCGCAUUAGCUAGUUGGUAAGGUAACGGCUUACCAAGGCAACGAUGCGUAGUCGACCUGAAAGGCUGAUCGGCCACCCUGGAACUGAGACACGGUCCCUACGCCUAAGAGAGGCAGCAGUAGGGAAUCUUCCGCAAUAGGCGAAAGCCUGACGGAGCAACGCCGCGUGAGUGAUGAAGGUCUUCGGAUCGUAAAACUCUGUUAUUAGGGAAGAACAAAUGUGUAAGUAACUAUGCACGUCUUGACGGUACCUAAUCAGAAAGCCACGGCUAACUACGUG